rnacentral:rRNA from 1 species
GAGUUUGAUCUUGGCUCAGGAUGAACGCUGGCGGCGUGCUUAACACAUGCAAGUCGAACGAAGAUGCCGGAGUGCUUGCACUUUGGCAGACUGAGUGGCGGACGGGUGAGUAACGCGUGGGUAACCUGCCUUAUACAGGGGGAUAACAGUUGGAAACGACUGCUAAUACCGCAUAAGCGCACGGUAUCGCAUGAUACAGUGUGAAAAACUCCGGUGGUAUAAGAUGGACCCGCGUCUGAUUAGCUUGUUGGUGAGGUAACGGCCCACCAAGGCGACGAUCAGUAGCCGGCCUGAGAGGGUGAACGGCCACAUUGGGACUGAGACACGGCCCAAACUCCUACGGGAGGCAGCAGUGGGGAAUAUUGCACAAUGGGGGAAACCCUGAUGCAGCGACGCCGCGUGAGUGAUGAAGUAUUUCGGUAUGUAAAACUCUAUCAGCAGGGAAGAUAAUGACGGUACCUGACUAAGAAGCACCGGCUAAAUACGU